rnacentral:rRNA from 1 species
UAGCUAGUUGGUGAGGUAACGGCUUACCAAGGCGACGAUCUGUAGCGGGUCUGAGAGGAUGAUCCGCCACACUGGAACUGAGACACGGUCCAGACUCCUACGGGAGGCAGCAGUGGGGAAUUUUGGACAAUGGGGGCAACCCUGAUCCAGCCAUGCCGCGUGAGUGAAGAAGGCCUUCGGGUUGUAAAGCUCUUUCGGCCGGGAAGAAAUCGCAUGGGCCAAUACCCUGUGUGGAUGACGGUACCGGAAUAAGAAGCACCGGCUAACUACGUGCCAGCAGCCGCGGUAAUACGUAGGGUGCGAGCGUUAAUCGGAAUUACUGGGCGUAAAGCGUGCGCAGGCGGUUUUGUAAGACAGGCGUGAAAUCCCCGGGCUCAACCUGGGAACUGCGUUUGUGACUGCAAGGCUAGAGUACGGCAGAGGGGGGUGGAAUUCCACGUGUAGCAGUGAAAUGCGUAGAGAUGUGGAGGAACACCAAUGGCGAAGGCAGCCCCCUGGGUCGAUACUGACGCUCAUGCACGAAAGCGUGGGUAGCAAACAGGAUUAGAUACCCUGGUAGUCCACGCCCUAAACUCUGUCAACUAGGUGUUGGGUGGGUAAAACCAUUUAGUACCGUAGCUAACGCGUGAAGUUGACCGCCUGGGGAGUACGGCCGCAAGGUUAAAACUCAAAGGAAUUGACGGGGACCCGCACAAGCAGUGGAUGAUGUGGAUUAAUUCGAUGCAACGCGAAAAACCUUACCUACCCUUGACAUGCCAGGAACUUGCCAGAGAUGGCUUGGUGCCCGAAAGGGAGCCUGGACACAGGUGCUGCAUGGCUGUCGUCAGCUCGUGUCGUGAGAUGUUGGGUUAAGUCCCGCAACGAGCGCAACCCUUGUCGUUAAUUGCCAUCAUUUAGUUGGGCACUUUAGCGAGACUGCCGGUGACAAACCGGAGGAAGGUGGGGAUGACGUCAAGUCCUCAUGGCCCUUAUGGGUAGGGCUUCACACGUCAUACAAUGGUCGGUACAGAGGGUCGCCAAGCCGCGAGGUGGAGCCAAUCCCAGAAAGCCGAUCGUAGUCCGGAUUGCAGGCUGCAACUCGCCUGCAUGAAGUCGGAAUCGCUAGUAAUCGUGGAUCAGCAUGUCACGGUGAAUACGUUCCCGGGUCUUGUACACACCGCCCGUCACACCAUGGGAGCGGGUUCCGCCAGAAGUAGGUAGCCUAACCGCAAGGAGGGCGCUUACCACGGCGGGGUUCGUGACUGGGGUGAAGUCGUAACAAGGUAGCCGUAGGGGAACCUGCGGCUG